GGAAUGGUUGCGCCGUAAUUGGUAAUCAUCUAUUCGUUAAGUAAUUGUUACCGCUUUGUUCAGAAAGACACGAUGCAAAUCACUGAAAUCAGAGAGUAACGAAUGACUUGCGACGUGUCCGUUGCCUCAUUCUCUUUUUUUCCCACCAUAUACAUAAGCAGUCAAACCCUACCCACAACAACACACACGCUUCACCAAACUUUUUUUUUUCUCUCCUUCUAAUUUUUCUGCGAAAAUCUAUCUUAAUUUUUCUAGGUAGCCAAACACGCUUCUUCCCGAAGAACUCGUCCUUCCCAAGAUGAUGAAGAAAUCCAGUCUCUUUGCAGCCUCUGUCGCCGCCGCGUCGGCCACCGCGGUUUCUGUUUCGUCCUCCACGCACGUCUCCAUUCAGGAUGGUGGGUCUCAAAGGGGCCAUGGAGGCUCCUCUUCUUCUCCAGAGGGUUCGGCUUCGACAGAGAAAUUCGCUCCAAGAUUCGACGGGUUGCGGUUCAUUGAGACUCUAAUUACUGCUCACAGAUGAAACUUUUGUUUUCUAGGGAACAAGGAUUUUGAAGCUUCUUGCUCAAUUAUAUGUAGUACUAUUUUCUUUUUGUUUACACCUUUUUAGUCCCGUUAAUCGUUUUUAUCUUGUGCUGUAUAGGAAAAAAGGAUUUAACCAUGGAAAAUGUUUAACUUUUUCCUUUUCAUCUUGUCGUAGGGUUUAUUAUAACUAGGAAGGGAAAUUGAGCGAGAGUGAGAAAUUGUAAUGUUGCGAGAUUGUUUUGUUUUCAUGUUCUUGUUUUUUGUACUUUUUUUUUUACCUGAACUUAUGAUGUGCAUCUUGUGAUUUUUCUGCAUGAAUUUUCCAAGAAAUAAUAAAAAAAAAGUUUCUACC